rnacentral:rRNA from 1 species
CCUACGGGAGGCAGCAGUGGGGAAUAUUGGGCAAUGGGCGCAAGCCUGACCCAGCAACGCCGCGUGAAGGAAGAAGGCUUUCGGGUUGUAAACUUCUUUUAAGGGGGAAGAGGAGAAGACGGUACCCCUUGAAUAAGCCACGGCUAACUACGUGCCAGCAGCCGCGGUAAUACGUAGGUGGCAAGCGUUGUCCGGAUUUACUGGGUGUAAAGGGCGUGCAGCCGGGAGGACAAGUCAGAUGUGAAAUCCCGCGGCUCAACCGCGGAACUGCAUUUGAAACUGUUGAUCUUGAGUACUGGAGAGGCAGAUGGAAUUCCGAGUGUAGCGGUGAAAUGCGUAGAUAUUAGGAGGAACACCAGUGGCGAAGGCGGUCUGCUGGACAGCAACUGACGGUGAGGCGCGAAAGCGUGGGGAGCAAACAGGAUUAGAUACCCGAGUAGUC